ACGCUCGACACCUGAGGCAGCAGUGGGGAAUAUUGCACAAUGGGGGAAACCCUGAUGCAGCAACGCCGCGUGAGUGAAGAAGUAUUUCGGUAUGUAAAGCUCUAUCAGCAGGGAAGAUAAUGACGGUACCUGACUAAGAAGCUCCGGCUAAAUACGUGCCAGCAGCCGCGUAUCNGNGGCGGCUGCGAGC
rnacentral:rRNA from 1 species